GGAGGCUUUGAAGCGUGGACGCCAGUCUGCGUGGAGCCGACCUUGAAAUACCACCCUUUAAUGUUUGAUGUUCUAACGUGGACCCGUAAUCCGGGUUGCGGACAGUGUCUGGUGGGUAGUUUGACUGGGGCGGUCUCCUCCUAAAGAGUAACGGAGGAGCACGAAGGUUGGCUAAUCCUGGUCGGACAUCAGGAGGUUAGUGCAAUGGCAUAAGCCAGCUUGACUGCGAGCGUGACGGCGCGAGCAGGUGCGAAAGCAGGUCAUAGUGAUCCGGUGGUUCUGAAUGGAAGGGCCAUCGCUCAACGGAUAAAAGGUACUCCGGGGAUAACAGGCUGAUACCGCCCAAGAGUUCAUAUCGACGGCGGUGUUUGGCACCUCGAUGUCGGCUCAUCACAUCCUGGGGCUGAAGUAGGUCCCAAGGGUAUGGCUGUUCGCCAUUUAAAGUGGUACGCGAGCUGGGUUUAGAACGUCGUGAGACAGUUCGGUCCCUAUCUGCCGUGGGCGCUGGAGAACUGAGGGGGGCUGCUCCUAGUACGAGAGGACCGGAGUGGACGCAUCACUGGUGUUCGGGUUGUCAUGCCAAUGGCACUGCCCGGUAGCUAAAUGCGGAAGAGAUAAGUGCUGAAAGCAUCUAAGCACGAAACUUGCCCCGA
rnacentral:rRNA from 2 species